GACUGACUGGCUCGGACGAACGCUGGCGGCGUGCCUAAUACAUGCAAGUCGAGCGCAGGAAACUGACGGAACUCUUCGGAGGGAAGGCAGCGGAAUGAGCGGCGGACGGGUGAGUAACACGUAAGGAACCUGCCUCAAGGAUUGGGAUAACUCCGAGAAAUCGGAGCUAAUACCGGAUAGUUCAUCGGACCGCAUGGUCCGUUGAUGAAAGGCGCUCCGGCGUCACCUUGAGAUGGCCUUGCGGUGCAUUAGCUAGUUGGUGGGGUAACGGCCCACCAAGGCGACGAUGCAUAGCCGACCUGAGAGGGUGAUCGGCCACACUGGGACUGAGACACGGCCCAGACUCCUACGGGAGGCAGCAGUAGGGAAUCUUCCACAAUGGACGAAAGUCUGAUGGAGCAACGCCGCGUGAGUGAUGAAGGUUUUCGGAUCGUAAAACUCUGUUGUAAGGGAAGAACACGUACGAGAGGGAAUGCUCGUACCUUGACGGUACCUUACGAGAAAGCCACGGCUAACUACGUGCCAGCCGCCGCGGUAAUACGUCGUGACUGGAAAA
rnacentral:rRNA from 1 species